CAAAAAUAAAGCCAAAUAAUUGGACGGAUGUCAUCACGUGAUCAAAAUUUCGAAAAUUUAAACGUUUUUACCGCCAAAAUUUAAACAAGCCGAAAGGAUAGAAUAAUAAUAGAAAAAAAGAGAAUAAACGCAGUUUUUGAGUUAUGUCUGCUGUAUUUUCUAAAGAUGUGUGAAUGAACAGAGGAAUAAAUAGGAGUUAGGUGUUACAUCAAUGCUCUUUUAUACUCCAGGACAGGUAUAGACGAAGACAGCUAUCUGGCACAGCAUGCACAAGUUACUAAGUUUAUUCAACAAAUCGUUCCCGAAAUAUCAGUGCGAUGACCUAAAGUACACUCGGACACAAAAAAAAUCUUGGCAAUGGAAGGCUAAUCAUCAUCUCACUGAGUUAUAUUAUACUCUAUUCUACCACAAAACUAGUCCAAGAAAAAUAACCAAUUUAGGCUUAUUUUUGAAUUUUAUAAAGAAUUUUUGAACAAUUCACAAGGAAAAUAUAA